rnacentral:rRNA from 1 species
UACGUAGGUGGCAAGCGUUGUCCGGAUUUACUGGGCGUAAAGGGCGCGCAGGCGGUCGUUCAAGUCGCGUGUGAAAGCCCCCGGCUCAACUGGGGAGGGUCACGCGAUACUGAUCGACUCGAAGGCAGGAGAGGGUAGCGGAAUUCCCGGUGUAGUGGUGAAAUGCGUAGAUAUCGGGAGGAACACCAGUGGCGAAGGCGACUACCUGGCCUGUUCUUGACGCUGAGGCGCGAAAGCUAGGGGAGCAAACGGG